GUAAAUGCAAAGACGGAGAGAAGUAAGAGGCAGAAGUCUUACAGAGAGCGGCGGGCUGGUGUAACGCCGCAGAUGGAACCUUUGAAAUACACUCCUGAGCAGCCGGUUGAACAACUGAUGUACAGAUUAGUAGGCCGCGCCGGAAUGCCACCGUUAUCAGAGGCUAGGAUAUGUAUGUAUCCGAAUAGAGAGGCUUGCAUCAGCAAGCAGGGUGGUACCACGGGUAUAACAGCUCGUCCCUGUG
rnacentral:ncRNA from 1 species